CAGCUCCUCAAGUGGUCAGGAUGAUUAUUGGGCCUAAAGCAUCCGUAGCCGGCGCUGUAAGUUUUCGGUUAAAUCUGUACGCUCAACGUACAGGCUGCCGGGAAUACUGCAGCGCUAGGGAGUGGGAGAGGUAGACGGUACUCGGUAGGAAGGGGUAAAAUCCUUUGAUCUAUUGAUGACCACCUGUGGCGAAGGCGGUCUACCAGAACACGUCCGACGGUGAGGGAUGAAAGCUGGGGGAGCAAACCGGAUUAGAGACCCGAGUAGUCC
rnacentral:rRNA from 1 species